rnacentral:rRNA from 1 species
GGCGUGUACUGCUUGGCUGGGCCUUACUUCUUGGUGAGCCGGCGUGCCCUUUAUUGGUGUGCGUCGGGGAACCAGGACUUUUGCCUUGAGAAAAUUAGAGUGUUCAAAGCAGGCCUAUGCCUGAAUACAUUAGCAUGGAAUAAUAGAAUAGGACGUGCGGUUCUAUUUUGUUGGUUUCUAGAGUCGCCGUAAUGAUUAAUAGGGACAGUUGGGGGCAUUGGUAUUGAGUCGCUAGAGGUGAAAUUCUUGGAUUGACUCAAGACCGACUAUUGCGAAAGCAUUUGCCAAGGAUGUUUUCAUUAAUCAAGAACGAAGGUUAGGGGAUCGAAAACGAUCAGAUACCGUUGUAGUCUUAACAGUAAACUAUGCCGACUAGGGAUCGGAUGACCUCAAAAUUGAUGUGUCAUUCGGCACCUUACGAGAAAUCAAAGUCUUUGGGUUCUAGGGGGAGUAUGGUCGCAAGGCUGAAACUUAAAGGAAUUGACGGAAGGGCACCACCAGGUGUGGAGCCUGCGGCUUAAUUUGACUCAACACGGGGAAACUCACCAGGUCCAGACAUAACUAGGAUUGACAGAUUGAUAGCUCUUUCAUGAUUUUAUGGGUGGUGGUGCAUGGCCGUUCUUAGUUGGUGGAGUGAUUUGUCUGGUUAAUUCCGAUAACGAACGAGACCUUAACCUGCUAAAUAGCCAGGCCGGCUUCGGCUGGUCUCUGGCUUCUUAGAGGGACUGUCAG